rnacentral:rRNA from 1 species
AGUCGAACGGGAUCCUGCAAGCUUGCUUGCGGGUGAGAGUGGCGAACGGGUGAGUAAUGCGUGACCAACCUGCCCCAUGCUCCGGAAUAGCUCCUGGAAACGGGUGGUAAUGCCGGAUGUGCCGGGCUCCUGCAUGGGGGUCCGGGAAAGCUCUGGCGGCGUGGGAUGGGGUCGCGUCCUAUCAGCUUGUUGGCGGGGUGAGGGCCCACCAAGGCUUCGACGGGUAGCCGGCCUGAGAGGGCGACCGGCCACAUUGGGACUGAGAUACGGCCCAGACUCCUACGGGAGGCAGCAGUGGGGAAUAUUGCACAAUGGGCGCAAGCCUGAUGCAGCGACGCCGCGUGCGGGAUGGAGGCCUUCGGGUUGUAAACCGCUUUUGUUUGGGAGCAAGCCCUUCGGGGUGAGUGUACCUUUCGAAUAAGCACCGGCUAACUACGUGCCAGCAGCCGCGGUAAUACGUAGGGUGCGAGCGUUAUCCGGAUUUAUUGGGCGUAAAGGGCUCGUAGGCGGUUCGUCGCGUCCGGUGUGAAAGUCCAUCGCCUAACGGUGGAUCUGCGCCGGGUACGGGCGGGCUGGAGUGCGGUAGGGGAGACUGGAAUUCCCGGUGUAACGGUGGAAUGUGUAGAUAUCGGGAAGAACACCAAUGGCGAAGGCAGGUCUCUGGGCCGU